CCUACGGGGGACAGCAGUCGAGAAUCAUUCACAAUGGGGGAAACCCUGAUGGUGCGACGCCGCGUGGGGGAAUGAAGGUCUUCGGAUUGUAAGCCCCUGUCAUGUGGGAGCAAAUUAAAAAGAUAGUACCACAAGAGGAAGAGACGGCUAACUCUGGGCCAGCAGCCGCGGUAAUACAGAGGGCUCAAUCGUUGUUCGUAGUCACUGGGCGUAAAGCGUGCGUAGGCUGUUUGGUAAGUCGUGUGUGAAAGGCGCGGGCUCAACCCGCGGACGGCACAUGAUACUGCGAGACUAGAGUAAUGGAGGGGGAGCCGGAAUUCUCGGGGUAGCAGUGAAAUGCGUAGAUAUCGGGAGGAACACUCGUGGCGAAGGCGGGUUACUGGACAGUAACUGACGCUGAGGCACGAAGGCCAGGGGAGCGAAAGGGAUUAGAUACCCGAGUAGUC
rnacentral:rRNA from 1 species